AGAGUUUGAUCAUGGCUCAGGAUGAACGCUAGCUACAGGCUUAACACAUGCAAGUCGAGGGGCAGCAUGAUCUUAGCUUGCUAAGAUUGAUGGCGACCGGCGCACGGGUGAGUAACGCGUAUCCAACCUUCCCCUUAGUAGGGCAUAGCCCGUAGAAAUGCGGAUUAAUACCCUAUGUUGUAUAUUGAGGACAUCUGAUUUAUACCAAAGGUUCACCGCUAAGGGAUGGGGAUGCGUCUGAUUAGGUAGUCGGCGGGGUAACGGCCCACCGAGCCUACGAUCAGUAGGGGUUCUGAGAGGAAGGUCCCCCACAUUGGAACUGAGACACGGUCCAAACUCCUACGGGAGGCAGCAGUGAGGAAUAUUGGUUAAUGGACGAGAGUCUGAACCAGCCAAGUAAGCGUGCAGGAUGACCGGCCCUAGUGGGUUGUAAACUGUCUUUUAGUACGGGGAUAAAGUCACCCACGUGUGGGUGUUUGUAGGUACCGUAUGAAUAAGGACCGGCUAAUUCCGUGCCAGCCGCCGC
rnacentral:rRNA from 1 species